rnacentral:tRNA from 1 species
GUAGACAUAGUUUUAAAAAAAACAUUAGAUUGUGAUUCUAAAAACAGAGGUUAAAAUCCCCUUGUCCACC